rnacentral:tmRNA from 1 species
UUGGACCCGGGGGCGGUACCCGGCGCCUCCACCAAAAUAUAAGACACCAAAAUUAUAUUUUGGUGGGGGCGAAAUAGGAUCGACAAGGGUGUAAAGAUCGCUCUUUUACUCGGCAUUGUACCACCGUUAUCGGGCUAAAUGAGUAGUUGCAAAUGACAACUAUGCGGAAGCACGUCUCGCUGCUUAAGACAGUGUGAAUGUUUCAAUUUGAGUCUUAAACCGUCGCAGGUUUAAGCGGAGUCCGAAGG